rnacentral:rRNA from 1 species
CAGCACCUCAAGUGGUCAGGAUGAUUAUUGGGCCUAAAGCAUCCGUAGCCGGCGCUGUAAGUUUUCGGUUAAAUCUGUACGCUCAACGUACAGGCUGCCGGGAAUACUGCAGCGCUAGGGAGUGGGAGAGGUAGACGGCACUCGGUAGGAAGGGGUAAAAUCCUUUGAUCUAUUGAUGACCACCUGUGGCGAAGGCGGUCUACCAGAACACGUCCGACGGUGAGGGAUGAAAGCUGGGGGAGCAAUCCGGAUUAGAUACCCGAGUAGUCC